GGUUAAGCGACUAAGCGUACACGGUGGAUGCCCUGGCAGUCAGAGGCGAUGAAGGACGUGCUAAUCUGCGAUAAGCGUCGGUAAGGUGAUAUGAACCGUUAUAACCGGCGAUUUCCGAAUGGGGAAACCCAGUGUGAUUCGUCACACUAUCAUUAACUGAAUCCAUAGGUUAAUGAGGCGAACCGGGGGAACUGAAACAUCUAAGUACCCCGAGGAAAAGAAAUCAACCGAGAUUCCCCCAGUAGCGGCGAGCGAACGGGGAGCAGCCCAGAGCCUGAAUCAGUGUGUGUGUUAGUGGAAGCGUCUGGAAAGGCGUGCGAUACAGGGUGACAGCCCCGUACACAAAAAUGCACAUGCUGUGAGCUCGAUGAGUAGGGCGGGACACGUGGUAUCCUGUCUGAAUAUGGGGGGACCAUCCUCCAAGGCUAAAUACUCCUGACUGACCGAUAGUGAACCAGUACCGUGAGGGAAAGGCGAAAAGAACCCCGGCGAGGGGAGUGAAAAAGAACCUGAAACCGUGUACGUACAAGCAGUGGGAGCACGCUUAGGCGUGUGACUGCGUACCUUUUGUAUAAUGGGUCAGCGACUUAUAUUCUGUAGCAAGGUUAACCGAAUAGGGGAGCCGAAGGGAAACCGAGUCUUAACUGGGCGUUAAGUUGCAGGGUAUAGACCCGAAACCCGGUGAUCUAGCCAUGGGCAGGUUGAAGGUUGGGUAACACUAACUGGAGGACCGAACCGACUAAUGUUGAAAAAUUAGCGGAUGACUUGUGGCUGGGGGUGAAAGGCCAAUCAAACCGGGAGAUAGCUGGUUCUCCCCGAAAGCUAUUUAGGUAGCGCCUCGUGAAUUCAUCUCCGGGGGUAGAGCACUGUUUCGGCAAGGGGGUCAUCCCGACUUACCAACCCGAUGCAAACUGCGAAUACCGGAGAAUGUUAUCACGGGAGACACACGGCGGGUGCUAACGUCCGUCGUGAAGAGGGAAACAACCCAGACCGCCAGCUAAGGUCCCAAAGUCAUGGUUAAGUGGGAAACGAUGUGGGAAGGCCCAGACAGCCAGGAUGUUGGCUUAGAAGCAGCCAUCAUUUAAAGAAAGCGUAAUAGCUCACUGGUCGAGUCGGCCUGCGCGGAAGAUGUAACGGGGCUAAACCAUGCACCGAAGCUGCGGCAGCGACGCUGAUGCGUUGUUGGGUAGGGGAGCGUUCUGUAAGCCUGUGAAGGUGUACUGUGAGGUAUGCUGGAGGUAUCAGAAGUGCGAAUGCUGACAUAAGUAACGAUAAAGCGGGUGAAAAGCCCGCUCGCCGGAAGACCAAGGGUUCCUGUCCAACGUUAAUCGGGGCAGGGUGAGUCGACCCCUAAGGCGAGGCCGAAAGGCGUAGUCGAUGGGAAACAGGUUAAUAUUCCUGUACUUGGUGUUACUGCGAAGGGGGGACGGAGAAGGCUAUGUUGGCCGGGCGACGGUUGUCCCGGUUUAAGCGUGUAGGCUGGUUUUCCAGGCAAAUCCGGAAAAUCAAGGCUGAGGCGUGAUGACGAGGCACUACGGUGCUGAAGCAACAAAUGCCCUGCUUCCAGGAAAAGCCUCUAAGCAUCAGGUAACAUCAAAUCGUACCCCAAACCGACACAGGUGGUCAGGUAGAGAAUACCAAGGCGCUUGAGAGAACUCGGGUGAAGGAACUAGGCAAAAUGGUGCCGUAACUUCGGGAGAAGGCACGCUGAUAUGUAGGUGAAGUCCCUCGCGGAUGGAGCUGAAAUCAGUCGAAGAUACCAGCUGGCUGCAACUGUUUAUUAAAAACACAGCACUGUGCAAACACGAAAGUGGACGUAUACGGUGUGACGCCUGCCCGGUGCCGGAAGGUUAAUUGAUGGGGUCAGCGCAAGCGAAGCUCUUGAUCGAAGCCCCGGUAAACGGCGGCCGUAACUAUAACGGUCCUAAGGUAGCGAAAUUCCUUGUCGGGUAAGUUCCGACCUGCACGAAUGGCGUAAUGAUGGCCAGGCUGUCUCCACCCGAGACUCAGUGAAAUUGAACUCGCUGUGAAGAUGCAGUGUACCCGCGGCAAGACGGAAAGACCCCGUGAACCUUUACUAUAGCUUGACACUGAACAUUGAGCCUUGAUGUGUAGGAUAGGUGGGAGGCUUGGAAGUGUGGACGCCAGUCUGCAUGGAGCCGACCUUGAAAUACCACCCUUUAAUGUUUGAUGUUCUAACGUUGACCCGUAAUCCGGGUUGCGGACAGUGUCUGGUGGGUAGUUUGACUGGGGCGGUCUCCUCCUAAAGAGUAACGGAGGAGCACGAAGGUUGGCUAAUCCUGGUCGGACAUCAGGAGGUUAGUGCAAUGGCAUAAGCCAGCUUGACUGCGAGCGUGACGGCGCGAGCAGGUGCGAAAGCAGGUCAUAGUGAUCCGGUGGUUCUGAAUGGAAGGGCCAUCGCUCAACGGAUAAAAGGUACUCCGGGGAUAACAGGCUGAUACCGCCCAAGAGUUCAUAUCGACGGCGGUGUUUGGCACCUCGAUGUCGGCUCAUCACAUCCUGGGGCUGAAGUAGGUCCCAAGGGUAUGGCUGUUCGCCAUUUAAAGUGGUACGCGAGCUGGGUUUAGAACGUCGUGAGACAGUUCGGUCCCUAUCUGCCGUGGGCGCUGGAGAAUUGAGGGGGGCUGCUCCUAGUACGAGAGGACCGGAGUGGACGCAUCACUGGUGUUCGGGUUGUCAUGCCAAUGGCACUGCCCGGUAGCUAAAUGCGGAAGAGAUAAGUGCUGAAAGCAUCUAAGCACGAAACUUGCCCCGAGAUGAGUUCUCCCUGACUCCUUGAGAGUCCUGAAGGAACGUUGAAGACGACGACGUUGAUAGGCCGGGUGUGUAAGCGCAGCGAUGCGUUGAGCUAACCGGUACUAAUGAACCGUGAGGCUUAACCUU
rnacentral:rRNA from 1 species